rnacentral:rRNA from 1 species
CCUACGGGAGGCAGCAGUGAGGAAUAUUGGUCAAUGGACGAGAGUCUGAACCAGCCAAGUAGCGUGAAGGAUGACUGCCCUAUGGGUUGUAAACUUCUUUUAUAAAGGAAUAAAACGAGGCACGUGUGCCUUUUUGUAUGUACUUUAUGAAUAAGGAUCGGCUAACUCCGUGCCAGCAGCCGCGGUAAUACGGAGGAUUCGAGCGUUAUCCGGAUUUAUUGGGUUUAAAGGGAGCGUAGAUGGGUUGUUAAGUCAGUUGUGAAAGUUUGCGGCUCAACCGUAAAAUUGCAAUUGAUACUGGCAGUCUUGAGUACAGUUGAGGUAGGCGGAAUUCGUGGUGUAGCGGUGAAAUGCUUAGAUAUCACGAAGAACCCCGAUUGCGAAGGCAGCUUACUAAACUGUGACUGACAUUGAUGCUCGAAAGUGUGGGUAUCAAACAGGAUUAGAUACCCUAGUAGUC